rnacentral:rRNA from 1 species
UACGAAGGGUGCAAGCGUUAAUCGGAAUUACUGGGCGUAAAGCGUGCGUAGGCGGUUUUUUAAGUCUGCUGUGAAAUCCCCGGGCUCAACCUGGGAAUGGCAGUGGAUACUGGCAAGCUAGAGUGUGUCAGAGGAUGGUGGAAUUCCCGGUGUAGCGGUGAAAUGCGUAGAGAUCGGGAGGAACAUCAGUGGCGAAGGCGGCCAUCUGGGACAACACUGACGCUGAGGCACGAAAGCGUGGGGAGCAAACAGG